AAGAACACGAGGCAGUAGGAUGAGCCCUCAGUUGGUGGGAGGCUGGGGAGAGGAGGAACCACUGGCUGCUGGGGAGGAAAGAGAUGCGUGGCCCCCAACCCCAGGCUCCCACAGGAGGGAGCAGACCCCCAGACCCGGCUCUGGGCUGCACUGGUUGUUCCUGGGGUCAAAAAGGCACAGGUGUCAGCUGUUAGUGCCCAGAACCCCAGGUCAGGGUCCACAGAGGCCCUGGGAGCAGCCCUGCACCUUCUCCAAGCUUCUGCCCACUUCUUCAACUUGCUUUGUAUUUGUCACAACUGCAUCUCAGCUCCUCUACCAGACUGUGAAUUCCUGGCAGUAGGUGCAGUGUCCCCAGGGCUCCCAGUGGCCCCUGUGGUCCAGGUUGAAGGAACAAAAGUGCCUGGUGCUCUCUGGCUCUGUGGCGCCACGCCGCCAGGCCUGACUCUGUGACCCGCCGUCCAUGUGCUUAACUCGGAGGGGAGACCCUGUCCUGGGCUCCAACUGGCACUUCUGUCAGAUGCACAGGUCUUUUGGUUUCUGCUCUCAGAGGGAAUUUCUGCCGGUGCUGUUCAUGUGCCUGGUAGCGCAGGGCAGGGGGCUGCUGUCAGGCUGGGGCUGAGGUCCUGGCAGGGGAGGCCCCAAACACGAGGACAAAAAACACCAGGGCCUAGAACCGUGCAGAGAGCCACGUGCUCCAAAAAUAUUCUAUUCAAGUACCAUGUCCGUGAUUUUGACUAAUCAAAGACCUCUGGUAAUAAACAAGCCAGCUCAUAUGUUAAUGCAUGAAAUUAAAACACACUGGAGCCCAAGGCAGCUGUUUUCUGGAGCCUCAAGAGUGAAGGCGCUCUGACCACAGCUCUUCAAAUGAAUGUGCUCUUCUAUUCCUCUUCUCUGAACUCCAGGCAAUCUGUUAAAACCUGUUCCCACUUGCAGCUACUCUUCUACAUGAAUCAGGAUUUCUACUCCAGCCUGUGCCACCGAAGCAAAUGGCUGAAAGGCGCGACGCUGCGGAGAGGAGGCUGACCACUCUGACCCGCUGGUCAGCACAGCUGCGCUGACCUCACGAGGAGGUGCUGGAAGGAGAGGAAGAGGCCCUCUGCCCACAACUUGGAAGGAAACCCUAAAUCACCUUGGGGUCAAGUGAGAGGAGACCAGCACUGGGGCCGUGGUGCUCAGGGAAAUCACAUCUCCAAAACCAGCCCCACAUUCAGGCAGAAAGUUUGGGAAAGCUGCGGAGGCUUCCAUGUUUGUGGACCCCCGAAACACCACGGGGGGGGUGCUGCCUGGACCAUAAACCCUCCAGGAAUAAUCAAGAAGAAAGUAAGUUCCUAUUUGUGAAGCACCCAGCCUUUGAGCAUCAGCAGAGUCCUCACUGCCCCUACUUAGGCCACACGCUCCCCUCACCUGCACCGUUCCUGGUGCCCCUUCAGGUCUCACCUGACAAGUCACUCCCUCGGGGUGGCCCUUCCCAGCCCCCCCGCGAAGCACAGCACUUCUCUCUAGUCAUCCUCUAA